CACACACCAACAAGGCACUCUGACAACCCACAAGAUGGAUAAAUUCCUACUAGUACUUGAGGUGAUUACAACAUGCUGUGCUGUAACUCAAAGAUCAGGAUUCGUUCAGCGGGCGUUUCAACCAGCAUUAGUCAUUUGUUGGUCUGCUGACAAAUGUCCACAUUUGGGACUACGUGUUGUCUCCCUGUGAGAUCCAGAGGUACACCAACCAGAUGAACUUGAUCAACUUAGACAACCAUUAACACUCAAACAAAUAAUAAUCAAG